rnacentral:lncRNA from 13 species
AGUUGUUCACAAUUCCUGAAAUGUCAUCCUCGUAAAAAAAGUCCCUGUCUUAAGUCAGUUAGGAUCACCACUUUCUUUUAAGAAUGUGAAAUGUCAGAAUAUUAGUAGAGAGUGUCAAGUUCUGACCAUAGUUCUUUUGUGUUUUCUUUGUUUUAGUGUUGGUCAGGACGUGAGCUGAGUGGAAAUUCUAUGGUGUGUGUCUAGUUUUCCCAUUUCUGUGUUUGGCCUGAUAUGGUUCUCAAUCAGAGGCAGGUGUUAGUCAUUGUCUCUGAUUGGGAACCAUAUUUAUGUUGCCUGUUUUGUGUUGCGUUUUGUGGGUGGUUGUUUCCUGUCUUCUGUCUUUGUGUCAUGUACUGUCAUGUUGUGUCUUGUCUCUGUCCUUUCCCUUCCCUUCACCCUGUCUCCCUCUGCUGGUCGUUGUUAGGUUACCUUUCCACCCCCUCUUUCCCCCAGCUGUGCCUUGUCUCCUCCUAACCACCUCGUCACCCCUUUUCCCACCUGUUCCCUUUUUCCCUCUGAUUAGUCCCCUAUAUCUCUCUCUGUUUUUGUUCCUGUCCUUGUCGGAUUCUUGUUUGUUGUGUUUCAUGCCUGAACCAGACUGUCGUCAUGUUUGCUGUAACCUUGUCUUGUCCUGUCGGAAUCUGCCGGUCCGUCUGAGCCUACCUAUGUUUGGUAAUUAAAGAAGCUCUGUUUAAGUUAAUUCGCUUUUGGGUCCUCAUUCACGCACCGUAACACUUUGUGUCUAUGCACCAGAUAGGACUGUUUCGGUUUUUCACAUUUGUUGUUUUGGUAUUUUGUAGUGUUCACGUUUAUGGUCUUUAUUAAACAUGUUGAACUCUAACCACGCUGCGCUUUGGUCCGAUCCUUCGUCCACAGAAGAAAACCGUUACACCACAACAGGACCAAGCAGCGUGGUGACAGGCAGCAGCAGCAGGAGCAGCGAAAUCAGGACUUAUGGACUUGGGAGCGAGAUCUGGACGAAGUCACUACUUGGGAGGAGAUAGACAGGUGGGCGGUCGACCCAUGGAGAGUGCCGGAGCCCGCCUGGGAUUCUCUGGAGCAGU